GACAGAGACCCAUGAGGAGAGAAGUAGAGGAGAGAGAUGAUUCCGUGGGGUUUCCUGCACCAAGCCUGUGGUCUCCACUGGCUGGAUGCUGUUGCUAUGGUAACAACGGCUUAAGAGCCUUAGGCCCCCCUCUGGGGUGACAGGCUUGGAUGGAGAUGGCUGAUCAAAUUCCUGGAGCAUCCUCAGCCUUCUGGAUGCAGGGCUUGGGUUGCUGCCCUUUGCCCACCAGAGUCAGCUCCUGGGAGUAUGCAUGCUGUGAUGCUCCACCUCAGACGGGCGUCUCAAGAGUCCAGCUGUUGUCCUUGCUGUCUCCUGACUGGCCUCAGCUGGAUGGAACUUGCCUGACAAAUGCUCUUAAAUUCCCUCCCUCUGCCUAUCCUCCUCCCGGUGGCUCCUGGGGUCACUGCCAAAUGCAAAGUCCUUGUUUUAGGGUCUGUUAAUCUAGGGCUCAAGACAAGAGGCCCUGCCCACUACUUUGUUAUCCAAGUGAGUGGCAGUUUGGGCUGCCUAAGGACAAUUCCUUGACAAGGUGACCCAGGCCAGCUUUGCCAUAUGAGACUCUGCAGUCUCAACCCUCAAUAAAACAAAAACAAAAACAAAAACAAAAACAAAAACAAAAA
ensembl:antisense 1700060C20Rik RIKEN cDNA 1700060C20 gene